GACGAACGCUGGCGGCGUGCUUAACACAUGCAAGUCGAACGGAAAGGCCCUGCUUUUGUGGGGUGCUCGAGUGGCGAACGGGUGAGUAACACGUGAGUAACCUGCCCUUGACUUUGGGAUAACUUCAGGAAACUGGGGCUAAUACCGGAUAGGAGCUCCUGCUGCAUUGUGGGGGUUGGAAAGUUUCGGCGGGUGGGGAUGGACUCGCGGCUUAUCGGCUUGUUGGUGGGGUAGUGGCUUACCAAGGCUUGGACGGGUAGCCGGCCUGUGAGGGUGACCGGCCACAUUGGGACUGAGAUACGGCCCAGACUGCUACGGGAGGCAGCAGUGGGGAAUAUUGCACAGUGGGCGGGAGCCUGAUGCAGCAACGCCGCGUGCGGGAUGACGGCCUUCGGGGUAUAAACCGCUUUCGCCUGUGACGAAGCGUGAGUGACGGUAAUGGGUAAAGAAGCACCGGCUAACUACGUG
rnacentral:rRNA from 1 species